GUACGGGGGGAGCAAGCGUUGUUCGGAUUUACUGGGCGUAAAGGGCGCGUAGGCGGCGUGACAAGUCACUUGUGAAAUCUCCGGGCUUAACCCGGAGCGGCCAAGUGAUACUGUCGUGCUAGAGUGCGGAAGGGGCAACUGGAAUUCCUGGUGUAGCGGUGAAAUGCGCAGAUAUCAGGAGGAACACCCGUGGCGAAAGCGGCGCGCUGGACCACUACUGACGCUGGAGGAACGAAAGCUAGGGGAGCAAACAGG
rnacentral:rRNA from 1 species